rnacentral:tRNA from 3 species
GGAGAGAUGGCCGAGUGGUUGAUGGCUCUGGUCUUGAAAACCAGUAUAGUGAAAAAAACUAUCGAGGGUUCGAAUCCCUCUCUCUCCU